CAAAUGUGUUUUAUAUUAAUUAACUCGAGAGCGCCUUUCAGAUACUGUUGCGCACGAAGUUGGGAGGAGGGCAGAGCGAGCGAUAGUGAGCCAAUGGAAAGGCGCCCAAGACUUGCUCACUGUCGGCUUUGCUGAAGACUAAAACGGGAACAAUAUUUCUGUCAGGCGCAUACUGUCUUCUUCGAGUGUGGAGUCCAGAGGACUCACCAUCUCAGUGACUGGGUUUAUAUCCUUGCAGUCGAACACGGAGUAAGAGCUUAGGUAAGCUCCUCCAGGACCUUUUCUGCCACAACACAACUACCCGCUUCUCCUCCAAUCACCCCUGGACUACACCUACCACUGAGGAAGAGCUUCAGGAGACUACCGGGAGAGUCAGAUUCCUGCCCCUGGAAUACCAACAAGUGUGCAUCCUUUUACACUUUUCAUCCUUAAUUUUAAAUCCACCUACUCUGAUUACGAGGGGGGGGAUGUUUGCUAGCAUCUCUGGCCUCUUGGAAUCGAUCCUGUGGGAACUGUUCUAGUUUUGAGCCUGCAUUCCUUCAGCUGACUCGGCCCAUCUGGUGUGUUUCUAUUCAACACUUUCAGGAACUAACACAAAUCUAGUACUCUGCUGCAGGGAUACAUUGGUACAUUGUAACCUAACAACAAGCCCUAUCAGAAGAGGUAAAGAGGAGAGGCCCAUCUUAGAGUGUGCCCGCUGGGCACAGAUGUCAAUUCAAUGUCUUUUCCACGUUGGUUCAACCUAAUUUCAUUGGAAUGACGUGGAAGCAACAUUAAUUCAACCAGUGUGUGCCCAGUGGGUGGUGUGUUAGAGCUAGUGGAAGAUACACCUGUGGACUUAUAAGAGGCUCUGCAGAAGAAGACCUGAUCCUUCAUGAACUGUAAAAACACAGGGUCUCUCUGAAGAGAUAUCUGUCCAUCUUUUCUCUCUGGGUGGAGUAACCCCUUCCUGCACUCAGCCAGCGUCACACCUCCGGGCCUCUAACGAUUGCUCUACAUCUCCCCAUAUCUGUCUAUCUCUGUCUGUUUUCUCUCUAUCUUUCUUUUUCACCUGUCUACUUCACUUUGCCCUCUCUCAAUUUCUCUCCUCCUCCCCAUUCAUUCUCUUUUUCUCCUUUUCCACAACACCCAUUUCUGUCACAUGCUCUCUCUGUUCUCAUAAUUAACGAUGCUUGUCUACCAAUUAGACAUUCAGUCGGUGCGACCCGAACCCUGAGAGCCCCAGUGGAAGCAGGGACCUUUGGUGUACUGCUGGUGUGUGGAUCGUGCUGUCCUAGACCUCCACCCCCCACCCCCCAGUACCCCCUGUCAUUGGCCUUGGCUGUAAAUGUCACGGCGCGGGCUGCCCACGGCUGAAUCGUCCACAGGGUCACAGGGCUGGCUUUUUUAUUUUCCACAGGCCAGGAUCUCUGUGGGAGCCUCACUGUGUCUCAGGGGAACAAAAGUUACUCCUCAGCCCCAGUUGGGCCCUGACAGCUGCCUUCUGGAAUUUAGUGUUUUGGUCUAAUUAGAAACUUUCUGUCUGACCUCAAGAGCUUAUUCCUAUUAUACUUGGAGGGAGUUUUCAUUUGAAGCCUUUGUUCGGUUUUGUUUUUUACCCUCUUCACCAGAUAACAGCUGAAGCCCAGGAUAAUUGCCUUUAGCUGAGAAUGUGAAUGCAGGUUCCUUCCAAGUCAUUGCAGUGGAUUAUCAUGAAUGAUCAUUACCGUGAAGGUCACACCCUGUAGGUUUUUCUCCUUCGUUGUUUGAUCCAGCUCCAUCUUCCACUUGACGCUAACACUUCACAGGGAUUGUGCAUAAAGCCGGGCACACCUUUUGCAUGUGUUCGCUAUAGGAAGCCUUCAAAAAACCUUGUUUUAGUGUAUUCCUCUCUAGAGAGCAGCGCACAGCUGCACAACAAUCAACUGCGGUGAUUUUUUUACCAAAAUAAAGGCCCUUGAAUGGAGUAAAAUGAGAAAUAAAGGGCAGAUGGCAACCCUGCUUUAAAACAUCAACAAAUUCAUUAAUACAACAUUGGGUGGUAGAGGCAUUUGGCAAAGUGCUGAAGUAGCCUCUCUCCCCCCCCCCCCCUCUCUUUCUCUGUCACGUUCCCUCUCUCACUAGAGACAGGGGAUCAGGUAGCAGAGCAGAAAGACUGGAGGUUGAUCCGCAGUGCCCCUGCUUCUCUGUUUGUUGUGUUUUUGUUUGUCCCCCCACCCGUCUGUGCAUGUAAUGACCCAUCACCUUCGUCAGCCUCAGGAGAGAUGCCUAUACUCGAGAUGGCAGUGAGCCUAGUCAAGUCCCUGUACUGGGAAGUGUUCCCCCCCAUGUCCACGUGCAGGGUCUACUGCACCCCUGUGUUCCAUGACGGCCUGCUCUAUGUGCUCGGGGGCUGCAGUGAGACAGGCCUACCUCUAGACACUGCCGAGGUGCUGGACAUAGAGAGCCAGACAUGGACCCAGUUACCUCCACUCCCUACAGCCCGUGCGGGGGCAUCAGCGGUGGCCCUGGGGGGUCAGGUGAUGGUAAUGGGGGGCAUGGAUGGCCAGCAGAGCCCCCUGUCCUCCGUGGAGGUCUACAACCCUGACGAGGGCAAGUGGGAGAGGAAGGCCAACCUAGGACAACCCUCCAUGGGCAUCACCUCAUUAGAGAAAGAUGGGAAGGUAUAUGCGCUGGGAGGGAUGGCAGCUGACACGACGCCACAGGCUCUGGUGAGGGUUUAUGAGCCGGAGAAUGACCAAUGGCAGCCCCUGACCUCUAUGCCCACGCCCCGCUAUGGAGCCGCCUCCUUCCUGAGAGGCAACAAGAUCUACGUGCUGGGUGGGCGUCAGGGCAAGCUUCCUGUCACAGCCUUCGAGGCCUUUGACCUGGAAAUGAAGAGCUGGACACAUUACCCCUGUAUCCCCAGCCGCCGGGCCUUCGCCUGCUGUGCUGCUACCGAGCGGGGCUUCUUCAGCCUGGGAGGGCUCCAGCAGCCUGGCCCCCACAACUUCUACUCCAGACCACACUUCGUCAGCACAGUGGAGGAGUAUGACCCGGAACAGGGUAUCUGGAUCAAACCAACCCGAACCUCCAGGAUGAGGGUUAAGAGAGCAGACUUUGUGGCCGGAUGUCUCGGUGGAAGGGUCAUCGUUGCUGGUGGACUAGGUAACCAGCCGUCGCCCCUAUCGUCGGUUGAGAGCUACAAUCCUGUGAAGCGGAGUUGGGAGUACGCUGCCCCCAUGCCCAGUCCCCGCUGCUCCUGUUCACCCCUGCAGACCCCCAACAUGCUGUUUCUCAUCGGGGGCGUGGCCCAGGGACCCAGCAACGCCGUGGAGGCUCUUUGUCUCAGAGAGACUGUGACAGUGUGACGCACACAGAGACAGACAAAGGACUCAAUGCAAGCAAAUUCAAUGUGUGCAGGGACAUACUGCCCUAUUCAUUUGAGCCGGAAUACACUGAAGCCGAGUUGAGACAGCGAGAACAAGAAUUGCGAGACCAGCAAGCAACGAUGGGGAGACACGGUCAGACUCCUACUGGUGGCACCUAUGCGGGUGCUGUCCAGCCAUGCCAGCAGAAGAAGAACGUCUGUGCUGCAACAAAUUCUCUUGCUGGAGGAGGUCACUGCAGACUCCAUGGAUCAUGUGUAUGUGACAGACCAUUGAAGGUUCGACUCACAUAUGGAUUUUGGUGUGCCUGAGACGUUCUUCAGAAACUUCAAGAUCAACUGGCGGAGGCAGCCUAGACCAGCUGGACCAGGAGGGCAAAUGACAAACAAACAAUUUGUUUGUUCUACAUGGGAGAAGCUAGGCAGAGGGCACUGAAUCCCCUUGCCUGCAUGUGUUGUUGGAGCCAUAUUAGCAAUUUAUCCCUCACACAGCAGACAGUUUGUUAGAUACACUCUCCUCUUGAGUCAGCAACUUCUUUGUAAAGUCCAUAACAACAAUCUCCCCUUGUAUCAAAGUGAACACCUCACUGCACCUCCUAAACAGGCCAUAUGCAAGUAUUCCCAUUGUAGAACUGUAGUAUUUAUUAUAGGUGUUAGUAGUAUAUUUUUCGUCUACUGUAUAAAUGUCAUACAGUACAUUGCCAUAACUGUUCCUGCAUACUGCUGUGUAAACUCACCUUGGUCUCCAGAGCAAUUAAACUUUGUCUGGAAUAAAAGCCAUGUCUACUUAUUUGCCACAUUGACAGACUAUUCUAUUGUUUUAUUAAAACAUGUUUAAUUCUAAACAAAUAAUAGUUGAAAUGAUGCAGCAACUCCCUGCAUCAUUUUUUUUAGCAGUGAGAUUAUAGCUAGUUACUUCCAAAUACAUGUAAUGAAUAUCAUAAUGAAUCGAUCCAGAAGUCAACACUUUAUUGGUUUCUGAUGCAGCUGGAAUCAUUUAGUCACUUGUCAGUACUCAUGUAAAACAUAUUAUAUGAAACAUUUGAUCAAACUCCAUUAUAUACAUAAACUCAGCAAAAAAAUCAACGGCCCUUUUCAGGACCCUGUCUUUCAAAGAUAAUUUGUAAAAAUCAGAAUAACUUCACAGAUCUUCAUUGUAUAGGUUUAAAAACACUACUUGCCAUGCUUGUUCAAUGAAGCAUAAACAAUUAAUGAACAUGCACCUAUGGAACAGUCGUUAAGACACUA